rnacentral:rRNA from 1 species
GGAGGGUGCGAGCGUUGUUCGGAUUUAUUGGGCGUAAAGCGCGUGUAGGCGGUCUUUUAAGUCUGAUGUGAAAGCCCUGGGCUCAACCCGGGAAGUGCAUUGGAAACUGGGAGACUUGAAUACGGGAGAGGGUAGUGGAAUUCCUAGUGUAGGAGUGAAAUCCGUAGAUAUUAGGAGGAACACCGGUGGCGAAGGCGGCUACCUGGACCGAUAUUGACGCUGAGACGCGAAAGCGUGGGGAGCAAACAGGAUUAGAUACCCUGGUAGUCCACGCUGUAAACGAUGGGUGCUCGGUGUCGCGGGUAUCGACCCCUGCGGUGCCUUAGCUAACGCGUUAAGCACCCCGCCUGGGGAGUACGGUCGCAAGAUUA